rnacentral:rRNA from 1 species
AGGAUAGAGGCCUACCAUGGUUUUAACGGGUAACGGGGAUUUAGGGUUCGAUUCCGGAGAGGGAGCCUGAGAAACGGCUACCACAUCCAAGGAAGGCAGCAGGCGCGCAAAUUACCCAAUCCCGACACGGGGAGGUAGUGGCAAUAAAUAACAAUACGGGGCUCAUUUGGGUCUCGUAAUUGGAAUGAGUACAAUUUAAAUCUCUUAACGAGGAACAAUUGGAGGGCAAGUCUGGUGCCAGCAGCCGCGGUAAUUCCAGCUCCAAUAGCGUAUAUUAAAGUUGUUGCAGUUAAAAAGCUCGUAGUUGAACUUCGGGGUUUACCCAUUGGUCAGGCUUAAUUGUCUGUACUGGUGAGAUAAAUCUCUACCUUCUGAGGAACUUUCAUGUCAUUAAUUUGGUGUGAUUGGAAAUCAGGACUGUUACUUUGAAAAAAUUAGAGUGUUUAAAGCAGGCUAACGUCUGAAUACAUUAGCAUGGAAUAAUGAAAUAGGACGGAUUGAUUCUAUUUCGUUGGUUUCUAGGAUCACCGUAAUGAUUAAUAGGGAUAGUUGGGGGCAUUAGUAUUCAAUUGUCAGAGGUGAAAUUCUUGGAUUUAUUGAAGACUAACUACUGCGAAAGCAUUUGCCAAGGAUGUUUUCAUUAAUCAAGAACGAAAGUUAGGGGAUCGAAGACGAUCAGAUACCGUCGUAGUCUUAACCAUAAACUAUGCCGACUAG